rnacentral:rRNA from 1 species
GACGAACGCUGGCGGCGCGCCUAACACAUGCAAGUCGAACGAGCGAGAGAGAGCUUGCUUUCUCGAGCGAGUGGCGAACGGGUGAGUAACGCGUGAGGAACCUGCCUCAAAGAGGGGGACAACAGUUGGAAACGACUGCUAAUACCGCAUAAGCCCACGGCUCGGCAUCGAGCAGAGGGAAAAGGAGCAAUCCGCUUUGAGAUGGCCUCGCGUCCGAUUAGCUAGUUGGUGAGGUAACGGCCCACCAAGGCGACGAUCGGUAGCCGGACUGAGAGGUUGAACGGCCACAUUGGGACUGAGACACGGCCCAGACUCCUACGGGAGGCAGCAGUGGGGAAUAUUGCACAAUGGGGGAAACCCUGAUGCAGCGACGCCGCGUGGAGGAAGAAGGUCUUCGGAUUGUAAACUCCUGUUGUUGGGGAAGAUAAUGACGGUACCCAACAAGGAAGUGACGGCUAACUACGUGCCAGCAGCCGCGGUGAAACGUAGGUCACAAGCGUUGUCCGGAAUUACUGGGUGUAAAGGGAGCGCAGGCGGGAAGACAAGUUGGAAGUGAAAUCUAUGGGCUCAACCCAUAAACUGCUUUCAAAACUGUUUUUCUUGAGUAGUGCAGAGGUAGGCGGAAUUCCCGGUGUAGCGGUGGAAUGCGUAGAUAUCGGGAGGAACACCAGUGGCGAAGGCGGCCUACUGGGCACCAACUGACGCUGAGGCUCGAAAGUGUGGGUAGCAAACAGGAUUAGAUACCCUGGUAGUCCACACCGUAAACGAUGAUUACUAGGUGUUGGGGGAUUGACCCCCUCAGUGCCGCAGUUAACACAAUAAGUAAUCCACCUGGGGAGUACGACCGCAAGGUUGAAACUCAAAGGAAUUGACGGGGGCCCGCACAAGCAGUGGAGUAUGUGGUUUAAUUCGACGCAACGCGAAGAACCUUACCAAGUCUUGACAUCCCUUGACGAUGCUGGAAACAGUAUUUCUCUUCGGAGCAAGGAGACAGGUGGUGCAUGGUUGUCGUCAGCUCGUGUCGUGAGAUGUUGGGUUAAGUCCCGCAACGAGCGCAACCCUUAUGGUCAGUUACUACGCAAGAGGACUCUGGCCAGACUGCCGUUGACAAAACGGAGGAAGGUGGGGAUGACGUCAAAUCAUCAUGCCCUUUAUGACUUGGGCUACACACGUACUACAAUGGCGUUAAACAAAGAGAAGCAAGACCGCGAGGUGGAGCAAAACUCAGAAACAACGUCCCAGUUCGGACUGCAGGCUGCAACUCGCCUGCACGAAGUCGGAAUUGCUAGUAAUCGUGGAUCAGCAUGCCACGGUGAAUACGUUCCCGGGCCUU